CCAUGUCGCGACACGGCCCCGCCCACCUGCCAUGGUCAGGCCCCGCCCAUAUCGCGACACGGCCCCGCCCACCUGCCAUGGACAGACCCCGCCCAUAUCGCGACACGGCCCCGCCCACCUGCCGCGGGCUGACGAUGAUGCUGCUGCUCUUGGUGCCCGGUUUGAUGGCGGGCAGGGCCGGAACCUCCCGGGGCUCAGCCCGGUUCUGGUCCCGGUCCCGGUUCUGGUCCCGGUUCUGGUCCCGGUUCGGUUCUGGGGUCCCCGCUUCGGUUUUGGGUUCCCUGGUUCGGUUCUGGGAUCCCGGUUCGGGGGUCCCGGAUUCGGUUUUGGGGUUCCGGAGCCGCCGCGCGCGCUCCGGUCCCGCGGAAGGGGCGUGGCCUCCGCCCUCCCCACGACUGGACCGUGGUGCUGUCAAUCAAUGGAACCACGCCCCCCUUUCCCGCCAUAGGAAGGGGCGGGACCUCAGUGGGUUGGUGGGCGUGGCUAUGGCGGAAAGACCACGCCCCCCUGAGUGACAGUGACAAUCGGGGACACCGAGGGACCCCCGGGACCCCCCCAAAUUAACGGGGACCCCUCCCCAAAUUAACAGGGACCCCCCCAGGGUCAGAAUCCAACAGCGGGACCGGGAUCGGCCCGGGAGGGACCCUCGGGACCCCCCCAAAUUACCGAGACCCCUCCCUGAAUUAACGGGACCACCGGGACCCCUCCCCAAAUUAUCGGGGACCCCUGGGACCCCUCCCCAAAUUACCGGACCCCCCGAAAUUAACGGGGACCUCUCCCCAAAUUAUCGGGGACCCCCGGGACCCCUCCCCAAAUUGGGGCUCCCUCGUCCCUGGAGCAUAAAAAAGGUGGGGAAAUCCCAAAAAGUGGAAAAAUUCCCCCCAAAAGUGGAAAAAUUCCCCCCAAAAUUGGGGAAAAUCCCCCCAAAAUUGGAAUAAUCCCCCAGAAUGUUAAACCCCCAAAGCAGGAGGGAAACCCCAGAAGGAAAUAAAAACCCGGAAUUAUUUUUGGGGUGAAAUCA
rnacentral:lncRNA from 1 species